rnacentral:lncRNA from 1 species
UUUGCUUGCACAAGCAGCUUUUGGUUUCCCUAAUUUAUAACAGACUAUGAGUUUUAUAGCCUUCCUUUUAUUUUCUCCUUGUCCUGCAAGAGGGAGGAGUGAGCAAGCAGCUCUGGGGGUGUUUGGCUGUUUUCUGGAGACAAUAACCCACCAAAAGCCUUCAGGACUGGUGUGUGUUUUCAGUGCUUGAAUGAAGCCCUUUGCUCCAAGAGCAAGACAGAAUGCUCUGAUUCCUAGAACCAUCCUUGGGGAUCCAGAAAACUUUUCAAAUCACAGUCACUAUCUUGGCUGCAUCCACAAACAGCAACAAGAUGGCAAAUUCCAGAUGCCAGAUGCAGAUUGCUACUCACAUGUGAAGUUUGUCUUGCCUAUGGUUGCUCAGGCAGCUGCUCCAGCUGGAAACAAGUGAAUCAACGUGUCCUGCUUCUUCUAACAUAUUGUCAUGCUGCACACAGCCCAGAUCACUCCUGCAGACCUCACUGAAAGGCAGAUGUGGGAUUUCAUAUACCUCAUGUUUUAUCAGCUGCCACUCUGAUGUUUAUGUCACUAAUUACACCAUACCUCACUACCACUUGUACCGCUCUACUGAACUGCAUUUGGAAAUGGAUAUUAAGGUAAAACCUUGUCAUUAAUAUGUGCCUUCCCUUUAAUCCCACUUCAUGUACUAGCUAUGGUAAAAUCUCAUGCAUUGCGCAGGCAACAUAGAAAUUGCAAGGAGAAAAUGAAUUCAGUUUCUGCCUUUUAGAGCUUAUUCACUUGCUUGUAAUCACAGAUGAAAAUUUUCCUUUUAAGAUUCAAUUCUCCCACUUUAGCUCAAAGCCUUUACAAUUUCAUACUUGGGUGUGAUAUUAAAUUUUAAUCCUUGAGGAUGUUAAAAUAUAUUUCAAGCAGAAUGUUAUGGGCAUAAUGCACAAAAGAGAUUCUGAAACAACAGAGAGCUGCUGGAGUUUUGUGAUUUUGGUUUUGUUUGCCUUCAGUGUCAGUUGAGUAAGCUUUCUUUGCUUUGCUUUGCUUUGCUUUGUUUUCUUCUGUUCUUCAAUAGUAAUGUUCCAACACUUUCAAGUCGAUAGAUUUCUUGCUCUAAACCUUUCCAUAUAUCAGUUUCAUCUCCUGGAAUACCAGAAAGUAAGGGCCAAAGCUAAUAAUUAUUGUGGCAGAAGGCCUUUCCUUUAAUCCUGC